ensembl:lncRNA
UAAAGUUAAAAUUGCUUAGUAUAGUGUUCAUAAUAGAAAAAUCAAUUUUAAAAGAAUCCACUAAGAUUUUUUUCUAAGUAGGCAACAGUUUAAAAAUGUACGCAAGAAGGAAGGAGGAAAGGGAGGGAGGGAAGAUAAAAGGGGCUCUUAGACUUCAUAAAUCAUGUUCAUACUUCCAUUUAAUGUAAUAAUGGUCAGAUGGGUAGCCCUGCAUUUCUCCCUAUGUGCAAAAGUAGGGGAGCUGUACAUCAUCAUUGACUGUUGACCACUGCAAGAUCUAAUUUCAGGCACAUUUAAAAUACUGGCCUUCUUUAAAAAUAUCAUUAUUCCCCAAAUGUAUAAAAACAAACUUACUAUACUGUCUCAAGGAUAUGUUAUUAUUUCAAAUCAUUGUUCUGCUUUAGAUAAAUCCAAUGUAUUACAGUGCGCAAUUUUUUGUUACAUCUGAAAUACUUUUUGUAGUUUUAUUGGUUCCUGAAGAAAAAUAUAACUCUUCUCUCACUAACUAUAAGAACAUAUUAUACCUUAAUUAAAACAACUUAUUGUUCAUAUUUUGGCAGGAAACUCCUCUCAAGAAAUCCUAAAACUAAGAAGUUUUCAUCCUGUGAUCAAUUCCAAAGACUCUGUGAUGCUUUCUUUGUGCUGUUGAUAUUAAUUUCCCAGAGAUUUUUAAGUUUCUUUGUCCUAAAAACUCAUCAAGAUUUGAGCAUGCUUAAACAAAAGGGAGCACCCACACACAUGAAAGCAUCUUUUAACAUUGCCAGUGAGCAGACAGAUGUAGAAAGAAUUAACAGCAGAAAAGAACAGAAGGACUCUGAAUUCAAAGACUUAAACCAGCAGGUACGGACAGAUUCAUGGUUUACCAAGCCUAGACCAGUAUUUUGGAACAGCAGGUAGAGAGAUGACAUGAUUCAGAAGAAGCUUGAAGCAGAAGAGGACAUUUUUAUUUUAAAUAAAUGGUAAUAUUAAAAGGGUAAUAUCCUUGAAUUAAUGAUGGACACAUACUAAAUUAACUUAUUUGGGAGAAUUAACUUGCAUUUUUUUUAGUCUCCAUUUUGUUUAUAUUUUCCUCAUUCUUAGAAGCAUGAAAAUCCAAUUCUUUUUUACCCUGCUGAUUUUUUGACAUUUUCCAUUUGGCAAAAAGGAAUUUCUCUCCCUCUCUGGUGUUUCUAAUGGACCUGAAACCCAUGUGAUUAACAUGGCUUCCUUCCUCACGCUAGGCUUGGCAUCAAUAUCACUUUCAGAAUUAAUAUGUGUAUCUCCUGAGAGCAAGCACUAAUUUCUAGGAGUUCUAGCUAAAAAGCUAUUAUAAAUGGCUACUGUUACUGGGCAUGAGAGCUAAGUGGAAAAGAAAAUAUUUUGGGUGCUUGAAUCUUUGCUUUUAAAUUAUUCAGAAAAAAUUAAACUUAUGUUAUUGGAAUACCAAGAUCAAGUUAUGGACUUCUUCCUCUUCAGGGGGCAAUACUUCUCCUGACUGAGUACAAAUGAGCAAUAUUUCAAGCUUUCUAAUCUGCUACAUAUUAGAAUCACCAGGGGAACUUUUCAACUAAAACAUAUUAGCAUCCAGGCACCACCUUCAGAGAGUCUCAGCCAAUUGUUCUGGAUGAAUAUCUGACAUCUAAUACUUUUUAAAAUGUAUUCCAAAGUUGAUACUAAUCUACCUCCAGGAUUUAAAUCCUAGGCAUACUCUAUUUAUCCUUAUACAAUUAAAAUGUGUUUAAAAAAUCACUGGUGAAAUCAAUGAUCUGAGAUGAUUAAACUACUUAAAAUAUUUCCAUUAAAAUUAAAGUUCCUUAACAAAUUGAGGUGGUCGUCCUAAUACAUUUUGUUCCGCUAUAACAGAAUACCUGAGACUGGGUAAUUUACAAUGAACAUAAAUUUAUUGGCUUAAUGUAUCUGGAGGUUGGGAAGUCAAACCUCCAGAUUGAGGGGCCGGCAUUUGGCAAAGGCCAUGGUAGAAGAGCAAAAACAGAGUAAGAGAGACAAAGAUAUUAAACUCCCAGCCUUGAGCCCUUUUAGAAUCAGCAUUAAUCUAUUCAUGAGAGUGGACCCCUCCUGACCUAAACACCUCCCAAGGGGCCCCACCUCUCAACACUGCCACAUUGCAGAUUAAGUUUCCAAUAUAUGCUUUUGGGGGGACACAUUCAAACCACAGCAGAGUUCAUGCUGGUUUUACAUUUCAUGCUUACCAAAAUUUAAUUUAAUAUCAAAAGCUUAAAAUCAGUUCUUCGAAAGCAAUUUUUCUUUCUGUUAAUUCUGACAACCAAUUUAUCAAUAAAUUAAAAU